AGUGAACGCUGGCGGUAGGCCUAACACAUGCAAGUCGAACGGCAGCACAGUAAGAGCUUGCUCUUACGGGUGGCGAGUGGCGGACGGGUGAGGAAUACAUCGGAAUCUACUUUUUCGUGGGGGAUAACGUAGGGAAACUUACGCUAAUACCGCAUACGACCUACGGGUGAAAGCAGGGGAUCUUCGGACCUUGCGCGAUUGAAUGAGCCGAUGUCGGAUUAGCUAGUUGGCGGGGUAAAGGCCCACCAAGGCGACGAUCCGUAGCUGGUCUGAGAGGAUGAUCAGACACACUGGAACUGAGACACGGUCCAGACUCCUACGGGAGGCAGCAGUGGGGAAUAUUGGACAAUAGGCGCAAGCCUGAUCCAGCCAUACCGCGUGGGUGAAGAAGGCCUUCGGGUUGUAAAGCCCUUUUGUUGGGAAAGAAAAGCAGCAGGUUAAUACCCCGCUGUUCUGACGGUACCCAAAGAAUAAGCACCGGCUAACUUCGUGC
rnacentral:rRNA from 1 species